rnacentral:rRNA from 1 species
AGGGGGCUAGCGUUGUUCGGAAUUACUGGGCGUAAAGCGCACGUAGGCGGAUUUGUAAGUCAGGGGUGAAAUCCCGGGGCUCAACCUCGGAACUGCCUUUGAUACUGCAAGUCUCGAGUCCGAUAGAGGUGAGUGGAAUUCCUAGUGUAGAGGUGAAAUUCGUAGAUAUUAGGAAGAACACCAGUGGCGAAGGCGGCUCACUGGAUCGGUACUGACGCUGAGGUGCGAAAGCGUGGGGAGCAAACAGG